CAGCAGCCGCGGGAAAACGAAGGGGGCUAGCGUUGCUCGGAAUGACUGGGCGUAAAGGGCGCGUAGGCGGCGGCCAAAGUCAGGCGUAAAAUUCCCGGGCUCAACCUGGGGGCUGCGUUUGAUACUUGGUUGCUUGAGUGGGGAAGAGGGUCGUGGAAUUCCCAGUGUAGAGGUGAAAUUCGUAGAUAUUGGGAAGAACACCGGUGGCGAAGGCGGCGACCUGGUCCUUUACUGACGCUGAGGCGCGAAAGCGUGGGGAGCAAACAGGAUUAGAUACCCCCGUAGUCCCUGUCUCUUAUAC
rnacentral:rRNA from 1 species